GGUUAAAUAUAAUCAAGGGCAAAUGGUGGAUGCCUCGACAUCAAAAGACGAUGAAGGACGUAGCAGCCUGCGAAAAGCUUCGGUGAGGUGGCAAGCAACCUUUGACCCGGAGAUAUCCGAAUGGGGAAACCCGUCUUGAUGGAAGAUCAAGACAUCAUUAUCUGAAUCCAUAGGAUAAUGAAGAAGACCUGGCGAAGUGAAACAUCUCAGUAGCCAGAGGAAAAGAAAAAAAUUUGCGAAUUGCAUAUUGCCGGUUUCCGAAAGGGAACCCGCGAUUUGCGAUUUGCUCAUUCCCUGAGUAGUGGCGAGCGAAAGGGGAAGAGCUCAAAUUCUGCAGACUAAACGCUUUAUUAAGUUUUCUGCCGGGGAUUGUUCCUUGGCAGGGAACUUAAUAAGCGCCUACGGGUGCAAGCCCAAUGUCUGCCGGAGGUUGUAAGAUAAACGCAUUUUAAGCCCUUGCAGGCUUAAGCAAAGACACAAAUUAUAUUUCCCUAGCCAAAGCUUUUGGAAAGAAGCGCCAAAGAAGGUGACAGCCCUGUCGGCGAAAGGGAUUAUAGCUUUGCAGUGUUUAUCUUGAGUACCACGGAACUCGUGAAAUUCUGUGGGAAUUAGCCGCGACUAUGCGGUAAAGCUAAAUACUUUUGAUGAUCAAUAGUGCACAAGUACCGUGAGGGAAAGGUGAAAAGCAGCCCGGUGAGGGCGAUGAAAUAGUAUCUGAAACCAUUUGCUUACAAUAAGUCGGAGCCCUGAGUUUAUCGAAGGGUGACGGCGUUCCUAUUGAAGAAUGAGCCAACGAGUUUGUGGAUGUUGCCAAGCUUAAGCCCGAACAGGGCGAAAGCGCAGUGAAAGCAAGGGUUAACCCCCGUUUUCGCUUGUUGAUUAUCCCCGUUUUUUGCCGGGAUAAUCAACUCGCGAAACUGUAGCAUUCACAAGACCCGAAACCAGGUGAUCUAGCCAUUGCCAGGGUGAACGCACUGUAACAGGUGCGGGAGGCCCGAACCCACGAGCCGUGCAAAACUCGGGGAUGAGCUGUGGUUAGGGGUGAAAUUCCAAUCGAACCUGGUAAUAGCUGGUUCUCCUCGAAAUAGCUUUUGGGCUAGCCCUGAACAGUAACCAUGGGGGUAGAGCACUGAAUAGAGGCAGAUGGAGAAAUCCUACUGUCUUUAACCAAACUCCGAAUACCAUGGCGGAAUGUUUAGGAGUCAGACUAUGCGGGCUAAGCUGCAUCAGUCAAAAGGGAAACAGCCCAGAUCACAAGCUAAGGUCCCUAAAUCGACGUUAAGUGUAAAAGGCGGUGAUUUGACUUUAACAACCAGGAGGUUGGCUUAGAAGCAGCCAUCCUUUAAAGAAAGCGUAACAGCUCACUGGUCAAGUUGGAUUGCGCCGAAAAUGUACCGGGGCUAAACGUCGUACCGAAGCUGUGGGUUUACUUGUCUUUUAUUAGACAUAUAAGCGGUAGAGGAGCUUUCCAUAAGCGCUGAAGGUUGUCCGCGAGGGCGGCUGGAGUUUAUGGAAGUGAGAAUGUUGGCAUGAGUAGCAAAAAGGCGGGUGAAAAUCCCGCCCACCGCAAGCCUAAGGUUUCCUGGGCAACGCGAAUCGACCCAGGGUUAGUCGAUCCUAAGGCGAGGCCGAAAGGCGUAGUCGAUGGAAAAGCAGGUUAAUAUUCCUGCACUAUCUAUGAGAAAACUGAUGAUGGACGCAUUUUGGAUAUUCAAACGUUCUAUGGUAUGGACGUUCCUUUACCCGCAAGGGUUGGGGAGAAGGCAAAGCUUCGGCCGAGUCAACUUGAGUUGAAGGGGUGCCUAGAAAAGGUCGUCAGCCUGUCUUUUAGAUAACCGUACUGCAAACCGACACAGGUAGGCGGGCAUAAGUGUGCCAAGGUGUACGAGAGAAUCCUCGUUUAGGAACUCGGCAAUAUAGCGUCCGUAAGUUAGCAAUAAGGACUGCCCAUCGCAAGAUGGGCCGCAGCUAAAGAUCUCAAGCGACUGUUUACCAAAAACUUAGGUCCCUGCAAAAGCGUAAGCUGAAGUAUAGGGGCUGAUGCCUGGCCAGUGUCAGAACGUUAAGGGGUGAGGUCAUCCUGCCGCAAGGCAGGGGCAGCUUUAAACCGAAGCGCUGAUGAACGCCGGCGAUAACUAUAAUCGUCCUAAGGUAGAAGGAAUUUUUCCCGAUAUGGAUUGGGGUUUGCUGCCUUAGUAAAAUUCGGCUAUAUGCUGGAAACUCUGGAGUAUUGAGGACUACUAUGGUAUAAUAAAGACAAAGAAUGACUAUUCCUUGUCUAAAAAUAUGCCAAGUAAAAAAGUUUCUCAUGCAGACAAUCAGCAGGAAAGAUUAAUUAAAAUAGGAUGGGUUAUCGGUUUUACCGAUGGUGAGGGGUGUUUCUCGGUUGGUUUUGUUAAACAAGCCGAUCGGAUAGAAAAACAUCGCAUCAGAAGAGGGUACAAAACCGGCUAUCAAAUCUUUCAUGAAUUUGCCGUUACGCAAGGUGCCAAAAGUUUGCAAUCUUUAAGAGAUUUGCAACAGUUUUUUGGCAUCGGAAAGAUUUACAUUAAUACCAGAUAUGACAACCAUAAAGAGCAUUUAUAUCGUUAUGUCGUUCGCCGGCGUGAAGAUUUAUUGAAUGUUAUUAUCCCGUUUUUCCGCCAAUAUCAAAUGCGAACGGCAAAAAAUAACGAUUUUAAGAAAUUCGCUCGAUGUGUUGAGUUGGUAAAAAAAGGUUAUCAUCUGAAAUUUUCUGGAAUUAAUAAGAUUGCCAAAAUUGUCAGUACCAUGAACCGACAAAAAACCCGUAAUAAAUUGAUUAAAAUCCCCAGAGACUAUACGCCGAACUCUAAAAUCAAUUUAGAGAAGAUAUAGUCCCGACUGCAUGGCGACAUGCAGGGCAAAUUUAUUUGCCGUCUAAUAUAAAUUAGAUAAGACCCAAGCGAAAUUCCUUGUCGUGUAAGUUACGACCUGCACGAAUGGCAUAACGACUUGAGAACUCUCUCAACGAGGAACUCGGCGAAAUUACAAGUCCAGUGAAGAUGCUGGGUACCCACAGCUGGACGAAAAGACCCCGUGAAGCUUUACUACAAUUUGAUAUUGAAUUAUUAUUUCACCUGUUCAGAAUAGGUGGGAGCUCGCCGCAAGGCGGGCGCCAGUGAGAUACCACCCUCGUGAUAUGAUAAUUCUAAUCUCGCCCCCUGAAUCGGGGGAGGAGACAGUAUCUGACGGGUAGUUUAACUGGGGCGGUUGCCUCCUAAAAUGUAACGGAGGCGUUUACAAAGGUUGGCUAGGUUCGGAUGGAAAUCGAACCGAUAGCGCAAAGGCAUAAGCCAGCUUUACUGCGAGUCCCGCAAGACAAGCAGUUGCGAAAGCAGAACUUAGUGAUCCGACCGUGCGACAUAGGACGGCGGAAGCUCAACGGAUAAAAGCUACUCCGGGGAUAACAGGCUAGUCUGGUCCAAGAGUCCACAUCGACGACCAGGUUCGGCACCUCGAUGUCGGCUCAUCGCAUCCUGGGGGUGGAGAAGCUCCCAAGGGUUUGGCUGUUCGCCAAUUAAAGCGAUACGCGAGCUGGGUUCAGAACGUAAAUUACAUUGCGUUCUAUCACCGAAAGGUGAUAUAAUAAAUCUGACUCAUAACGGUGAAACCCAAUUUAACUAUUUCCGAACGGUUAAAAGGGCAAUGCCGUGGGAAGGUCAGUUUAUGGCAAUAAUUUCUUCAACAAUAAAAUCAUAUGUCGCCGGUUUUCUGGACGGUGAUGGCUGUAUAAUGUUUCAGCUAAUAAGGCGGAAAGAUUAUAUUUACGGCUAUCAAGUCAGAGCCAGCAUCGUUUUCUAUCAAAAGACAAAGAAUCGCCAGCAUCUGGAAUGGCUUAAAAGCGUUUUUGGUGUCGGCUAUAUCAGGGAUAGGAAUGAUGAAAUGACGGAAUAUACCGUCGUUGGUUUGAAGCCGGUAAUUAAGAUUUUGAAAUUAUUGCGGCCAUAUAUCAAGCUGAAAAAAGAACACGUUGCCUAUUCAAUGAAAAUUGAUAAGCGAUUGGCGGGAAAAUUUAGCUUGAAAAAACUCAUCGCCGCGGCAAAGUUGGUUGAUAAAUUCAAAGAAUUGAAUUAUUCAAAAAAAAGAACCAAUACUUCCGUGCAAUUAAUUGAGUAUUUGCGGCAGCAUAAGCUGUACCCCCGUAACGACUGAUUCCCGAAAUUAUUUCGGGAUGAGAUAAGUUUCUGAUUAUGGCAAUGAGUUUAAACUUAUCAAACGUCAGCCCCUCCUCUGUGUUGUGCAGAAAGGGUGAAGGUAUAGUCUGUGCCAUUAGUAAUAAUGGAAAAACAUGCGUGAGACAGUUCGGUCUCCUAUCCACUGUGGGCGUUGAAAUUUGAAGGGGCCAAUCUCUAGUACGAGAGGACCGAGAUUGACAAACCUCUAGUGUGCCGGCUGUCCUACCAAGGGCAUCGCCGGGUAGCUACGUUUGGUUUAGAUAAGCGCUGAAAGCAUCUAAGUGCGAAGCUGUCCCUAAGAUUAGAUUUCGUUAUAGGUUCCCGGCAGACGACCGGGUUGAUAGGCGGCAGGUGUAAGGCCAGCAAUGGCUUGAGCCGAGCCGUACUAAUAACCGAAUAUUUAACCAC
rnacentral:rRNA from 1 species